rnacentral:rRNA from 1 species
GAUGAACGCUGGCGGCGUGCCUAAUACAUGCAAGUCGAGCGAACAGAUGAGGAGCUUGCUCCUCUGACGUUAGCGGCGGACGGGUGAGUAACACGUGGAUAACCUACCUAUAAGAGUGGGAUAACUUCGGGAAACGGGAGCUAAUACCGGAUAAUAUCUUGAACCGCAUGGUUCAAUAGUGAAAGACGGUUUUGCGGUAACUUAUAGAUGGAUCCGGGCCGGUUUGGCUGGUUGGUAAGGGAAGGGCUUGCCAAGGGAACGAGGCGUAGCCGACCUGAGAGGGGGAUCGGCCACACUGGAACUGGGACACGGUCCAGACGCCUACGGGAGGCAGCAGAAGGGAAUCUUCCGCAAUGGGCGAAAGCCUGACGGAGCAAGGCCGCGUGAGUGAUGAAGGUCUUCGGAUCGUAAAACUCGGUUAUUAGGGAAGAACAAAUGUGGAAGUAAAUAUGCACGUCUUGACGGUACCUAAUCAGAAAGCCACGGCUAACUACGUG